GACGAACGCUGGCGGCAUGCUUAACACAUGCACGUCGAACGCAGCAUCCAAGCAUGCUUGGUUGGCUGAGUGGCAGACGGGUGAGCAACACGUGGGAAAUUACUAUUUCGACUGUGACAACCACUGCAAACGGUGGCUAAUACCGCAUACGCCCUGAGGGGGAAAGCGGCAAUGCGCUAAGGGAGAGGCCCGCGGCAGAUUAGGUAGUUGGUGGGGUAAAGGCCUACCAAGCCUGUGAUCUGUAGCUGGUUUGAGAGGAUGAUCAGCCACACUGGGACUGAGACACGGCCGAGACUCCUACGGGAGGCAGCAGUGGGGAAUAUUGGACAAUGGGGGAAACUCUGAUCCAGCAAUGCCGCGUGAAUGAAGAAGGCCUUAGGGUUGUAAAGUUCUUUUGUCCGCGACGAUAAUGACGGUAGCGGACGAAUAAGCCCUGGCUAACUCUGUGCCAGCCGCCGCAGUAA
rnacentral:rRNA from 1 species